GAUGAACGCUGGCGGCGUGCCUAAUACAUGCAAGUCGAGCGAACAGACGAGGAGCUUGCUCCUCUGACGUUAGCGGCGGACGGGUGAGUAACACGUGGAUAACCUACCUAUAAGACUGGGAUAACUUCGGGAAACCGGAGCUAAUACCGGAUAAUAUAUUGAACCGCAUGGUUCAAUAGUGAAAGACGGUUUUGCUGUCACUUAUAGAUGGAUCCGCGCCGCAUUAGCUAGUUGGUAAGGUAACGGCUUACCAAGGCAACGAUGCGUAGCCGACCUGAGAGGGUGAUCGGCCACACUGGAACUGAGACACGGUCCAGACUCCUACGGGAGGCAGCAGUAGGGAAUUUUCCGCAAUGGGCCAAAGCCUGACGGAGCAACGCCGCGUGAGUGAUGAAGGUCUUCGGAUCGUAAAACUCUGUUAUUAGGGAAGAACAAAUGUGUAAGUAACUAUGCACGUCUUGACGGUACCUAAUCAGAAAGCCACGGCUAACUACGUG
rnacentral:rRNA from 1 species